CUGGGCAGCGGGCGCAGAGCAGCCAGGCCUGGCAGAGAGUUACUGGUGCAUGGAUUCAUGCACAGGGCUACUAGUAAUGUUAUAAAUAUCCAAAUGGCCCUUGGUAGAAAAAGGUUCCCCACCCUGCUCUACUGGUAUCUUCCUACUGUAUGAACUACCUGGAACCUGAAGCAAUACAAAUGCAAGGAGCCCCUCCCCCUACUUUACUACAAAACUGCCAAGAUCCAUGUAAGCAGCUGUAUUCCCACUGCAUCCAAGGACUGAUCAUUCCUGGUUCUGCAGCAACUCUGUGGGGGCAGUGGAUACAGAACUGAGUCUCGGGGAAAUGAAGGACCUUCCCAGCCAGGUUCGUUUACAUAGGUAACAGGCCAAGGAGAAGCCUCGCCCGGCAGUGCAGAAGACUGGAAACUCCAUGGGCACUGACAUGUGUGUAACUCUGUGUCCUGCCACCAUGGAGGACCGUCCCUGUCACCUGGCAGGCUCCUGCUGAUGAACCAUGGCUUAAGAAAUUAAACACGGAGCCGAGA